GGCCUCGGUCGUGCAGUGGUAGCACGCGCCCCCGGUGUGGGUGAAAUCCGAGUUCAACUCCCGUCUGAGCUC